rnacentral:rRNA from 1 species
CUGUGGGAUGAACCAAACGCUGGGUUAAGGCGCCCGAUGCGAGACGCUCAUGAGACCCCAUGAAAGGUGUUGGUUGCUCUAGACAGCAGGGCGGUGUCCACGGAGGUCGGAAUCCGCUAAGGAGUGUGUAACAACUCACCUGCCGAAGCAACUAGCCCUAAAAAUGGAUGGCGCUCCAGCGUCGAGCCCAUACCCAGCCGCUACAUCAAAUUUAUCGUUACGAUAUUUAAGAUGUAGUGAGUAGGAGGGUCGCAGCGGUGAGCGUUGAAGGUGCCGGGCGUGAGCCCGCCUGGAGCCACCGCUGGUGCA